CAGGGUUUUUUUGUGAGAUUUUUUCAUGGUGUGGGAAUAAGACUUGGAGGUCUAAUACAGCUAGUAUAUAGAUUAGCAUCAGCUUGUCUGUAAGGAUUGAGGCUGAGAAUGGCCAUUGGAGCUGACUAAUAUGGUGACUUCAACUGUGGCUGCAGGAAAUUAUUGUGCAAUACAACUGAAACCAAAAAGAAUGUAAUUCAGACUAUUUUUGUGUAUGUUUUAAAAAAUGUUCAUAUUUUUUUACCAAAAAAAAAAAAAAAAAAAAUAAAAAAUUGUAAAGAUUCUCCAUUUUCAACAAAGCUGGAAGUUGUUGGCUAAAUUGAUACUUCAUAAUUUUCCGAUUUUACUUUUAGACCUACUCUUGAUAUCUUAAUUAUGGUCAAUGUGUUAUCAAACAUUUCCAGAAGGUUAAAAAUGGAGAAUCUAAAAAAAAAAAGAAAAAUAAUGUUAUUUUGUUAAAAUGUACAUUUUGGUUUUCUGAUUUGUUGGAUGUAUCUCUUUUUUUCUUCAUUAGUUUGUUAUUUUUUGCAGUGUUUUUAGCUAUAAAAAAGAUUAUUUCAC